rnacentral:rRNA from 1 species
AGUAAUGCUUGGGAAUCUAGCUUAUGGAGGGGGAUAACUACGGGAAACUGUAGCUAAUACCGCGUAGUAUCGGAAGAUGAAAGUGGGGGACCUUCGGGCCACAUGCCAUAGGAUGAGCCCAAGUGGGAUUAGGUAGUUGGUGAGGUAAAGGCUCACCAAGCCGACGAUCUCUAGCUGGUCUGAGAGGAUGACCAGCCACACUGGGACUGAGACACGGCCCAG